UCCACCGUCCCAUCUUCUUUCUCCCAUGGACUCAUUUUUCUCUCUCCUCGCAUGGAAACUAUUCCACCGAGCCUUCAUAUCUCCAUUCUCUCUCGGUUCCCACCCAAGGAUAACAAUGCAACCGUCUCUCUCAAACUGAUGCAAACAAGUUAGGGCAUGGAUCUAGCGUGGUCAAGGGGAUUACUGCCUCAAAUUUAUUUUCAUCUUCAGAUCAGGAGAUCUUGAUUUACCCAACGGAAAGGAAUUCCAUGGUCUCUCUCAAACUGAUUGAAACAAGUUAGGGCAUGGAUCUGGCAUGGUCAACCGGUGAAUCGUUCUCAUUGGCAAGCACACGAAAAGAUUUGAUCGGGCACUCUCUCAGUUUGAGUUUCUGUUUGGCAUGCACCUCUGGACGCUAUUUGCCUACAGGGCAUGAAGUUGUCGAUCGAGGAACAACUAAUGCACAUGGUACGAGUACAAAAAAGGUUAUGUUUCAGUCCAGUUCGCUUUUGUGACAUCCUAUACUUGGACUUUGUUUCUGAAGUUCUAUCUUAUAUGUGCAGUUUUUUCACGUUCUAUGCUAAGCUUGAUUUGAUUGGUUUUUUAAGAAUUCCAGCUGUUUCUUUGUUUUUUUACGUUCCAAGCAUGGAUAUGUCGUUCAUUUUGUUUUCUCCAGGGAUUAUAAUGGACAGAUAGAAGGUGUAGCUGUAUAGUAGUACAAUCACAGCUUCCCUUCUAAUUUUAAUCAGGUAUGUUCUCUAUGUUUCGUGUAAUUUCUUUGAAGGACGACCAGUCAAUUGUUUCCCAGGAUAGCAUCAUUGUUGGGCACAGGUUAUUGUCUGCAAGACAACAAAUUCUCAUGUUCCAGGGAAUAGACUUUGCAUGUAUGUAGAAAUUUUGACCUUAUCCAUGCAAGUCACCAGAUCACAAAAUUGGAGCGAUUCUCAUAGACAUUUUCUGAAUGUCUGACACUAAACUGGAGCAGACCUAUGGCAACCCGGACCUGCAAAAUAAGCCCAUGAAUCAUAUAUCAUCAGGUCACUGUCUUGGCAAGCUUUACAAUGCUUAAUGCAUCGGAGGUUCAGGUUAGAGUUGCCCAUCUUCUGUCGAGUUGUUUUUCUGAUUGUUAGGGUACUGAAUUUGCAUUACUAAUAAGCAAGGAUUGGUCUUCACAUCAGUUGAUGCACUGCAACUUUGGUAAGUUGGUCUAGAUUAAAAUAAUGAUGGAAGCAUGUUUGGUUUAGAGAGCAGAGUGAUAUGUUAAACGUGUUUUGUUCGAGAUUUUGCAGCAUAAUCAGAUUACUUGCCCAGUAACCCGAGCCUAUGUAAACAUACAAAAAGAACUCCAUGGCAGUCAAACCCAAUACACCUCGGGUACCCCAACUAGACGCAACCAUAUUCCAGUGUACCAAGCUAUAAAGGCCAUUCCUACAUAGAAGCAACAACUUUGAACAUGUAAGAAAUGAAGAUAAUGAACAUCAAGAUAUAUAUUUACUUCUUUUUUAGUGUUCUCAGCCUGUUUGUUCUUUGAAACGUGAACAUGAUUAAGUCUUCUUUUGUUAAUGCCAUGCUGAGCCGGAGUCUUAAAAGAAGUUUCAAAGUUUUUCAGAAUAAUAUGCAUGCUAAUUUGUAGGAACCAAAGCAUUCGGUUUUGUUCGGUUUGAUAAAUAAUAUUUUAGACAAAUAACGUCUCAGUAUUACGAUUAAUACAAUUCCAAAUUUGUUUUCGAUUCAUUAUACCAAAUUAUUUCAGUAAGCAUUUAGUAAAAUUUUGUAUAUACGUCAAUAUAUUAGCAUUUUGCUUUUAAGAAAAGACUAAUAUAAUCAAAGUAGACAAGCUUAGAUCAACACAUUAUGAUGUGAUGGAAGCAAAGGAGAUGCGCAAAAAUGCAACCAUACAGCAGCUCAACCACGUGACUAUUUUCUUUAUGCAUGAUUUUAACGUUUUCAGUAUAUCAGUUGGAGACUAGGCUUUUCCCUUUUUAUGAGAAAAUUAUGGACAAAAAAGAAGAAAUAAAAAAUGGUCUCUAAUGUGUGCAUUUAUUCCUCUUCUCUUUUAAAAAUUCAAACUGUUCUUCUGUAGAUUUUGUGAGGCUACUUAAUCUUACAUGUAAACUGAACUUCUUAAUUACUCCAGGGACAUGUAGGUGAACGAACAAUCAGCAAAUUAUAUUUUUUAUGUGUUGAAGGCAUUAUAUGCCAUGUUUAGAAGAGGUCAAAUAAUUUGAUUUUUUUAUCUAUAUAGAGAAUAUUUGAGUAUAUGCUACAUUUAAUAUUCUAUUAUUUGAAGUAUUACAUUGUAACUCUGAAAAGACCUGAAUAUUAAGCCUAUAUGGUCAUAGGACAAGAUGUAACUGUUCCCAUAGAAAUUUGGAACUUUUCCAUUUCCUUCCAAUAAGUAAAAUAUAGUCUCAAAACUUUAUCCCAUAUUUUAUUAUAAAGGUCACUACUAAACUAGGUUGAGCAUCAUCAUGAACAUUAUUAUUAAUAUUGUCACUAGUUUUAGGUUCAUUACCAGAUUGAGUUUCAGCAU